AUGGCCAUCACUCUCUGUUCCAUAUGGUAUGCUAGACGCAAAGCGGUCUAUGAAUCCAUCUUUCAAAGUCCCCAACAAACAAUUUCCUUUGUAAACAACUUUAUAGCAGAACUGGGGCAGCUUGCUAAUAGCCUGAAGAGACAAUGUACAACAGCAAUACCAUCUGCACAGCCUGAACGGUGGUUACCACCUCCUAAUGGCGCUGUGAAAGUAAACGUUGAUGGUGUUGUAGCAAGAUCCCGUCGUGGGGGAGCGGUAGCAGCUGUUUGCAGAGGCCAAUCUGGUUUGUAUCUAGGCUCCUCGGCGGUGGUCUUCCAAGGAAUAAAUGAUCCUCUAAUUUUGAAGACUUAUGCAUACCGUGAAGCGUUAGCACUUGCUGAUGAUCUCGCCGUCCAAACUAUUUGUGUGGCCUUGGACUGUCAAGGAGUGGUGAAUGACAUCAACAAGGGGACGGGAGGUCCAAAUGCUGCCAUAGUACAUGAAAUAGUGACUCGUUGUGGGAGUUUUUCUUCUUUUUCUUUUAUACAUGAGCGUAGGAACUUUAAUUAUGAGGCUCGUAAUCUCUUCAAGUUUGCUUAUAAUCUAGAUGUAGGUCGACAUGUUUGGUUGGGCGUACCACAUGACCCAAACAGUGUAUCUAUGACCGUUGUUUCGAAUGAAUAA
rnacentral:rRNA from 1 species